CGGAAUCUCUAAAUCGGUAGUGAUAAUAAAUAGAUCAGUAAUAAGUGGAUGAAUACCAAGGGAAGAGGCUCUUGCUUCCAGUAAAAUGCCAGCUGGCCAAUGAGAAGAGAGUUUUAGGGCUGGAAGAUCAUUUUGCAGCCAUCAUGGUAAAGCUUGGCUUGAAUAACAAUCAUCAUUCUGAAAGGAACUCUUCAAGGCGAAAUAAAAGGCUGCUAGUUCGUGACGUGAGGACAUGUGAAAAUAUAGACCACACUUCAGGGUGAGUGUGCAGCUCCCAGGACUCUCUGUAGUCAUCAUUAGACUAAUUUGUUCUAAGUGACAACUGAUGGAUGCCUUUCAAUUCUGCACACUGUGUGUGUGCUUGUUGUUUGUUUGUUCGCUGCGGUGUCUCCAGAUGCGAGAGGAGGGAACUAGAGUGUUGGGUGUUUUCAGUUGUCCUAGAGCAAGGCUGCCAAAUCUCCUUUCUGCCGUCCCUGCUCAUUGAGACGCCAGUCUUCCCAGUCACAAUGUCAAACAUAUUGCCCUGUUGUUUCAUCUGUGAUAGUAGGUAAAAAGAAAGAAGACAACUCACCUUGGAUCAUGGCAAACAUUUAUUAGAAGCCUCCAAGCUGUUUUCUAGUCCCAUACAAUUUGGAGAGAAUGAAGUCCAAAUCAGGGAGACAAAUAUUUGAGAGUUACAUGUGGGCUUAGGGAAUGUUUACCCAAUCCAGGUAAGAAUCAUUUGUCACUAAAAGGCUCCCCACACCCUAUCCCCAUCACCAUGUCACCCUGCAGAAGGUCAAGUGGCCUAUGCAUGAGGCUCAUUCUCUGCAUUCCUCAUCAAGGGGCACAGAGGGGUGGGUGAAGUCACUGCUGUCACAAGCCAGUGGUCAGAAGGGGAUUAGGAGCAGAGGCCCACAGUUGCAGGGGUAAUUCAAAUACCCCAUACCCUUUCUCCAAAGGCCAAGAAGCAGAGGACUGGGGCUUGCAUCCAUUUGGGGCAGAACUUUAGAAAAAGAAACAGGUAGACUGAGGUCUAGACAUCAUUAAGACGAGUGGCCUCAAGUGACAUUUACAUAGCAUAUUAUGGUUUAUCACAUAUGUCUCCUCAGCCUGCUCAAGAGAAAAGAGGUCUCUCCUGAAGGCCAAGUUCCAGCCCCAGCUCAGCUCCUGAACUGUUGGGUAAUCUUGGGCAGGUGACUUGCCUUUUGUGCGUCUCAAGUUCCUCAUCUGUAAAAUUAGGAAUGGAGAAGAUACCACGGCAGGCAGUCAGAAAUAAUCCUGGAAUGACAAGAAUGCAGCCAUCUGUCUUAGACAUGUCAGCAAAAGAUGCACCGGCUGAUUCCAAGCAGAGGAAGGCUGAGCUGAGAAGCACCCCCAGUAGGCUAUGUGAGCCACAGUGACAGUAGUCCACAAGGUGGGGACUCCCUAGGCAGCCACGUACCAGUCUCUCCUGGGAGCUUCACCCACGUCAACUCAUUGAAUCCUCACGGCGGUCCCAGCGGUGGGAUACAUCAUCAUCCCCAUUUCACAGCGGAGAAAAUCAAGGCCCUCUGAGGUUGGGGAGCUUGCCCAGAAAGUCUCCAGAUGAGGAAACUGCGACCCAGUCUCAGUUGGGAAAUCACAUGUCUUCAGCCGACUCUUUCAAGACAACUUGAGUGGUCAGAAUAAAAGAUAGAAAGUUUCCGUUCGGCGCCCUAUUAGCUGCUGGCUUGGGAAAAUGUAUUUCUUUGUAAUGCUGUCAAAUGGCAAAGGGCAUGCCUUUCAUGGCGAAGUCUACCUGCUUCAAAGAGAUGAAUGUGAACAGUUUGGUCCGUUUCUCACCAUUCUCUGGCGGUCACCAGCACAUCCCAACCCUAGUGUCUCACAUGGCCUGGUUAGAAUGCUCUUUUCACUUUACUCUAUUGUUUUUCUAACCUGCCCUUACUCAGAGUGAAGCCUGAAUUGCCCUCCAGAUUCAGCAUUUUAGAGCUAUUUUUGAGAGUCCAACUUUCCCAGGGAAAACACAGGAGACAAAUGAAAGCUGCCCUGCGCAGCAAAUCCUUCUGGUUGUAUGAAACCCCGGAAGGUAAAGCAGUCUUCAUCAUCGUGUCUUUGUCGUCUGGCAGUGUGUAAAAAGGGUGAAGCAGAAAGGCAGACCAGAACACCUGUGGCCUUUAUGAAAACCAAAGCCACCUCCCGCCCUGUACGUUUUUUAUUCUCAACGUGCAGCAUCUGUCAGCCUCAGAUGAAAACCCAGCAACGGGGGACCCCAAACCCGGGCUCAGACAAGCUGACUGAGGAAUUAGGAGGAUUUUGCAAUAAGGCCAUUAAUUCUGUCGGAUUGAAAUAUCUUCUAAUUCCACGCAGCCAAGGACAGCUGUACUUUUGUCUCACGUUUUCCCUGGCGUUUUAUGCCUGCUUGGAAGCAGGGGUGCGCAUCUUCACGGAAAGGUGGAAGGGCCAGAGAUGUGGACUCCAGAGAGAUGGGGCUCUGGAGCUUUCACUUACCAGCCAGAAGGGGGUUUGGCCAUAUCACUUAAGUCUCCAAGUCUCAACUACCUUGGAUUAUGUAUUUUACCAGGAGUUCACACUAUAAGGUUAUGUGCAAAUUGUUCAUUUACCACCAGGUUGAGAGAAAAGGAAAAGCAAAACUAUAUGGUUGAAGGAAGGCCAUUUAUCUCAAUUUUCUCUGUUACAUGAAGGGAGAAUUCACCGGUACCUCCUGACCUUGGCCCUUUGACUUACGUCGGACCUAGGGAAGGUGUGGUCUCAGCACGUGGAGUGGGAGGAGCUUGCAAGGGGACCCAAGUGGACUUAGCUAUGGAGAGGGGACACUGCUGGGACCAAGAUGCUACUUCAGUGAGCUUGGGGUCAUCAUCUAAGACAGCCCUGCAUUCCUCUGCAUUCGGUGAGGAACAUCCUAAUUACUCCUUCUGGGUCCCAGAUAAUUGAAACCACCAACAGCUCUUGGAAGGCAGUCUCAUCUUAAAUUGUUCUCUUUGUUUAUGCAUUCUUCAAGUAUAAAAACAAAUGCUAAUAUUCUUGCUAUAAUGUUAAAUCAACAAAGAGACAACAAAGUGGGAUCUCAAUGAUGUAAAAACUAUAUAUGCAUAGAAGAAAAGACUUGAUGAAAAUGUUAAUAGUGGUUGUAUUUGAAAGAAUAGACAAUGGAAUUUUUUCAGCUUUUGUAUAUAUUUUUUAAAAACUUAAAAGGGUUCAUAAAUUACUCUCAUUAUAAAAAAGGAUUCUAUUCAGAAAUAUUUUAAUGC